GGGCCAUUAGCUCAGUUGGCAGAGCAGGUGACUUUUAAUCACUUGGUCAGAGGUUCGAGUCCUCUAUGGCCCA
rnacentral:tRNA from 2 species